rnacentral:rRNA from 1 species
UACGGAGGGUGCGAGCGUUGUUCGGAAUUACUGGGCGUAAAGCGCGUGCAGGCGGCCGACUAAGUCAGGUGUGAAAGCCCGGGGCUCACCUCCGGAAGUGCGCUUGAAACUGGUCGGCUGGAGUACGGGAGAGGGAAGCGGAAUUCCUGGUGUAGCGGUGAAAUGCGUAGAUAUCAGGAGGAACACCGGCGGCGAAGGCGGCUUCCUGGACCGAUACUGACGCUGAGACGCGAAAGCGUGGGGAGCAAACAGG